AGUAUAAUGGCCAAAUUGGUAAAGGUAUCGCCAAACACAGGCGAGGAUGCGGGUUCGAGCCCCGCUGGAACGG
rnacentral:tRNA from 1 species